rnacentral:misc_RNA from 1 species
UCUCCGUAGGUGAACCUGCGGAGGGAUCAUUACAGAGUUCUCGCCCUCGCGGGUAGAUCCCCCACCCCCUGUUAUCGUUACUAUCGUUGCUUUGGCGGGCCGCCGGGUCCUGCCCGGCCCCCGGCCCCGGCUGGGGUGCGCUCGCCAGAAGCCCUACAAACUCUGAAUGUCAGUGUCGUCUUAGUACUAUACAAUAGUUAAAACUUUCAACAACGGAUCUCUUGGUUCU